rnacentral:rRNA from 1 species
GUAGGGGUGCAAGCGUUAAUCGGAAUUACUGGGCGUAAAGCGUGCGCAGGGCGGUUUUGUAAGUCUGACGUGAAAUCCCCGGGGCUUAACCUGGGAAUUGCGUUGGAGACUGCAAGGCUGGAGUCUGGCAGAGGGGGGUAGAAUUCCACGUGUAGCAGUGAAAUGCGUAGAGAUGUGGAGGAACACCGAUGGCGAAGGCAGCCCCCUGGGUCAAGACUGACGCUCAUGCACGAAAGCGUGGGGAGCAAACAGGAUUAGAUACCCUGGUAGUCCACGCCCUAAACGAUGUCUACUAGUUGUCGGGUCUUAAUUGACUUGGUAACGCAGCUAACGCGUGAAGUAGACCGCCUGGGGAGUACGGUCGCAAGAUUA